rnacentral:lncRNA from 1 species
AGUUGCACAGCUGCCUGGUAGGUGACUGGAGGCAUUGAGCAGUGCUCACUGGUAUUUCGCUGAUGUGGCCCCAACCCCGCCUCCCUCCCCACCCCGCGAUGUCAGAAAAAACACAACAGGGGAAAUUGGCCGCAGCCAAGAAAAAGUUAAAAGCAUAUUGGCAGAGGAAGAGCCCUGGCAUUCCAGCAGGAGCUAACAGGAAAAAGAAAAUCAAUGGCAGUAGCCCUGACACAGCCACUUCUGGUGGUUACCACUCACCUGGGGAUUCAGCAACAGGUAUCUACGGGGAGGGCCGUGCAUCCUCUACUACCCUGGAGGAUCUGGAGAGCCAGUACCAAGAACUAGCAGUGGCCCUGGAUUCAAGCUCCGCAAUAAUCAGUCAACUCACUGAAAACAUCAAUUCACUGGUUCGCACAUCUAAGGAGGAGAAGAAGCAUGAGAUACAUCUGGUACAGAAGCUUGGGAGGAGCUUGUUCAAACUCAAAAACCAGACGGCUGAACCCCUGGCCCCAGAGCCCCCAGCAGGGCCAUCUAAGGUAGAGCAGCUACAAGAUGAGACCAACCACCUAAGGAAGGAGCUAGAGAGUGUGGGAAGACAGCUCCAGGCUGAGGUGGAAAACAAUCAGAUGUUGAGUCUCCUGAACAGGAGACAGGAGGAGAGGCUACGUGAACAGGAGGAGAGGCUACGUGAACAGGAGGAGAGGCAACGUGAACAGGAGGAUAGGCUACAUGAACAGGAGGAGAGGCUACGUGAACAGGAGGAGAGGCUGUGUGAACAGGAGGAGAGGCUGUGUGAACAGGAGGAGAGGCUACGUGAACAUGAGGAGAGGCUGUGUGAACAGGAGGAGAGGCUAUGUGAACAGGAGGAGAGGCUACGUGAACAGGAGGAGAGGCUACAUGAACAGGAGGAGAGGCUACGUGAACAGGAGGAGAGGCUGUGUGAACAGGAGGAGAGGCUACGUGAACAUGAGGAGAGGCUGUGUGAACAGGAGGAGAGGCUACGUGAACAGGAGGAGAGGCUGUGUGAACAGGAGGAGAGGCUACGUGAACAGGAGGAGAGGCUGUGUGAACAGGAGGAGAGGCUACGUGAACAGGAGGAGAGGCUGUGUGAACAGGAGAAGCUGCCAGGGCAGGAGAGGCUGCUGGAAGAGGUGGAGAAGCUGUUAGAACAGGAGAGGCGGCAGGAGGAGCAGGAGAGGCUGCUGGAGAGGGAGAGGCUGCUGGAAGAGGUGGAGAAGCUGUUAGAACAGGAGAGGCAGCAGGAGGAGCAGGAGAGGCUGCUGGAGAGGGAGAGGCUGCUGGAAGAGGUGGAGAAGCUGUUAGAACAGGAGAGGCGGCAGGAGGAGCAGGAGAGGCUGCUGGAGAGGGAGAGGCUGCUGGACGAGGUGGAGGAGCUCCUGGACGAGGUGGAGGAGCUCCUGGAGCAGGAGAGGCUUCGGCAACAGGAUGAGAGGCUGUGGCAGCAGUAGACUCUGCAGGAGCUGGAGAGGCUGCGGGAGCUGGAGAGGCUGCGGGAGCUGGAGAGGAUGCUGGAGCUGGGGUGGGAAGCCCUGUACGAGCAGCGGGCCGAGCCACGCAGCGGCUUCGAGGAGCUGAACAACGAGAACAAGAGCACACUGCAGUUGGAGCAGCAAGUAAAGGAGCUGAAGAAGUCGGGUGGAGCUGAAGAGCCAAGAGGCUCCGAGUCUGCAGCAGCAGCCAGACCAGUAGCUGGAGCCCCAGUCCCACAAGGAGCUUGGAUGUGCGGACAAGCAGGGUGGACUCCCCAGGAGCACCCAGGCUUGAGUGGAGAAGCUGUUGGUACAGGAGAGGCGGCAGGAGGAGCAGGAGAGGCUGCAUGCCAUUCUUUUCGGGCUGCGGAGAACAGGGAGCUAAACAUCACCAUCAUCUAAGAGCGGGUCAAGGAAUUGAAAAAAAAAAAACAAAACAUUUAAGGGGUUAAUAUCCUACACAAUUCAUUUACUUCAUUUGAAUGUUAGAGCCACUUAUGUUUAUUUGUGUUUCUAAUUUAUAGUUUAAAUUUAUUUGUGUUUCUAAUUUAUAGUUUAAAUUUAUUUGUGUUUCUAAUUUAUAGUUUAAAUUUAUUUGUGUUUCUAAUUUAUAGUUUAAAUUUAUUUGUGUUUCUAAUUUAUAAUUUAAAUUUAUUUGUAAAAAGUUAAAUGAGAGUGGGUGUUUCUCUCAUGUUCACUCUGGCAUCUUUUAGCAUUUUUUUAAUUUGAUAAUUAUAGGACGUUAGCAUGCAUAUCGAGUUUGCCCUUAUGUGGUGGGAGUUCAAACACACAAAGACCCACUGUAUGCACACAACUGUUCUUGCUGGUUUGGGAUAGGCUGCCAUGCUUUUUUAAUGUUAGUACAGCCUGUAUAUUCAUUACGGAAUUCAGAUAAAAUUUCCUUAUGUUCUGCUGUUAUGUUUGAUCGAAUCCUAAUCACAGUGAGCUCUUCAUUAGCUCAAUAUGCAGUUUGCCCUCAAGUGCGCGGUCUAUUACUUUGUAAUAUGCCACUGUGAGUACUGACAUUUACAGUUGUUUAAAGGUGGAGCACUGGAAACAGCCUUUCCCCCUUUUUCUGUGUAUUGGGGAUGGGAGUAAUAACAUUUUGGGGAGGUUUUUAAAUCUCCCAGAAGAGGAAAGUGGCCUGCUUUGGCAGGUGUGUGCAGGAUAGAAUAUGUUUCAUUUGUUUCAGUGCCAAGAAUGAGUGCUGUACUACAGUAGUUCCCUUAGGAUUUGUAUGUGCUCUGGGCUCAUGAAGAUACUGCCUCAUGAGCUGUGGCAGUUGUACUCUUUUUUGAUGACCUGAAAAGGGAUUAUUUCUGAGGAAUGAAAGGCUCCCAUCAUGACUGUGGAUGUGGAAAACCUUUUCUAGCUGAGAGCAUUUAUAUCUACAAUACAUUUUAAAGUCAGAGUUCAUGUUCCCUGUUUUAAUCACAUGACUACAUGUCCCAGUACACAAAAGGGCACUGGUUGGCGUUCUCCUUAAUGUAUUUAGUAAAGAUCAGAAGAAAUCCUUUAAGAGUUUAAAUGCCCCUGGAACAGGCAUAUACAGGCUCUAGUCAAGAAUGAAUUCGAGUGAAGGAAAGCUGUGUGACACCUGGCAUUCCUCUGUGUUCAUGGAGCUUAUUUGAGGCUAGAAGAUGGAUUUUACCAUCUAGACCUCUCUGGCUAAUAGCUAGUCUUCAACCAUCUGACAUAGGAAUUUACUUCUUUUCCUUGAAUGGAGAACACUUUAAAAAUAAUAACAAACAUUAUUAUAAACUAAUAUAUGUGAGAGUACUUAGUUGAAACAAAAAGGAGUUUUAGUAGACAGUAUUAUACUACAUUUGAAAAUCAAGGAGCAGUUUAUGCAACGUAAAAUGUUUACAAACUGCAGCGCAAUCUACUGUUUGUGACUGUCAAAGUGUCAUGAGGAAAGUGUCUAUACAAUCACAGAGUUAUAUUUCCUCACAAAGUUCUUUACGAAGAGUGAAAUAUGUUUUUAUACCUCUCAGUUUCAGUUAGAGGCAUAUUUUGUGUAAUAUUUAUGGCUUAAAAUGGACUAAAGGUCCUGUUCUUGCCUUUUCUGAACUUGCCGCUUUUGCAUUCUUUGAGUUCAGUUUAAAGACACUUACUUUAACUCCAUUUUAAACCCUCGGGCUAGAAAUCGUACCACUGUUAAUUAGCCACGUUAUUUGGUCUAACAGUUUUUGUUUAUCAUUCUGAAACUGAGCUUAUCUAAUACAUUGAUAAAUUAUUUCAAAGGUAUUUUUAUAGUUCAAAUCGCUUCACUUUUACCCUGACACGUAUAAAUGAAUAGGAAUGACCUUCAGAUAGCGUUUAGCAACUGUAACCAAUCUGACAAUAAUGUGUUCAUCAGGUACCUGUGGAUUAAAUCACAUACUGGCAUAUUUAAGAUGAAUGUCAGUCUGAAAAAUAAAUAUACUAUAUUAAUUCAAAUACGACUCUGUGUAGGUAUUUUGUCAUAUGUUUAAGAAAAAGCUAAAGAGAAUGGAAAUCCUAUGACAAUAACUCAAGUCUUUCUUCAAAGUGCAUGCAGUCUUUUGCAGUACCUCAUUCAGCCAAGUAUUUGUUCUCUACCUCAUUCAGUAUAAGGCAGCCUUUAAUUUGCUUAGAAGGCAACAUUAGAAGGUUAGAGUUCAGCAGGAACAUAGAAUUUUAAAAUGUGACUUCAACUGAAUAAAUUUGAAUUUCUGUAGGGAGUAAAGAAUCAAAACACCUAUUUAAAGACUGCAAAAUAUGAUAAUUAUUUUUAAAGUAAUUGAUUAAACCUGGUAGGUUUUCCCAAAAUGAAAAACAAUCAGUUCUAAAACCAAAGCUGAUUUUUAGAAAAUGUGAAAAUGUAAAUCAACCCUAUCCAUAAUAGAUUCUCUAAAACUUUAUCUUACAGUCACUUUCAAAUAACUAUUCAAAAAUGUAACUGCUAUAUUAACGUCUUAAAAUAAUUUAAAACAUUUUAAAAUAUGAAUACUGUAGUUUAAAACAAAGAAUCUAGGGGAAGGAAAAGUAGACAAAGAAAUGCCAAUUCCAGUCCAAAGCUGUAUUUGCCAAGUUUUCUUAGAAUGACUUUUACCGAUUUAUGAAUUCUUAUACACAGAAUGCAUAAUGGAAAUACUGAUUUUUGUCUAAAGUGGCAUUAUUGACUGCUGCUGUGAUGCUACUGUAAUGUAAUACAUUAUUAAAUUGUUUCAAGGUGCUGUUUUGCCUAAAAAUUUUGUGUGUCUUGAAAACUAUAGUAUUGGGUAUUGAGACUCUGCAAAUUCUCGGCAUGCUUGGCAUGAGGUAAUCGGUUUUUAUUCUUACAAAAUUGUAACUAUGUAAGUGUGUUUAUUAAAAGAACACAAACUAAAAAAGUUAACAGGAAUUAAAGUUGUGGGAUGAAAAAGUUACAGGAUAAAAAAAUACUGUGGAAAAGUGGCAAAAAAAAGUUGUGGAAAAAAAGUAAAAAAAAAGUUUUAUGAAAAGUUAUUUUAAAAAGUUAUGAAAAAUUAGUUACAGGAUUUAAAAAAAGUCAUGGGAUAAAAAUAAAAAUAAAUAAAAGCAGGCCCCUGUCAGCAUAAGCCUGGAGAAGUGGGUCUGGAGUCUUCACCCCCACCAUGUCCCUACAACCCCUCCCCAGUCAGCCCUUUACCAUUAGGGUAGCAAGACAAGACCCUUGUCUAAUGGAGGGAGACAAACAGACCCUUUACCACCUUGACCAAGGCUGAGUCCUUACAUUUCUGGAUGAUGAUGUUUGUUAUUUAAGAGCCAGAGGUUGGUGGAGUUGGUUUGUUUGGAGGAGGUCUGACGGCCUUCUUACUCUCACCAAAGCAACUUUUCCCUCAGGGGGGCUCCCAUCUUCUUACUCAGAGAGGCAGCUGAGGCGGGACAGUGGAGUUAACUGUAGACCAGGCCAGGGCACAGGCUGCUGGGGGUGGCCCCCCUUCCCCCGUGUACAUACUGUAGCUGUGUAACAUUCUGUAUCGUACCUAGCGGAGGUUGCAGCUGGCAUAUGAGGAAGAGGUUCUUAUAAUUAUUCGCGGCUGGGAAACUUAUUUAUUGCUAGCAUAGGAGCGAGGAAGCAGGCGGGGAUGGGGUCAUGGCUGCCUGGUGAUGGGACUCCUGUUUUUUGUUUUUUGUUUUUUGCUUUUGAUUUUGGAAUAAAUGGAUUUAGCCAUACUGCUCGGCCUGGUAUGUUCCCAUUUCCCUCACUGGGUCCUGCAGUUUGUCCCACUGAAUGAGGAGCCCCAGAGUGUCUCAGCAUGUCCAGCUGGGCUGUUGGGGACCUUCCAGGCCUGUUACCUGUAUGCUGCCUGGUGACACCUGGUGGAUUUCAUGGGGACUGCCAUGGCGCCUACGGAGUACACUCUGGCCCUGACAGCCAACUGGUUGAGAAGCCUGAUCUAGCUGUGGCAGGGAAGACAGAUACCAGUGCCCAAGGGCACUGACUUCCAUCCACCCCAGGUGUCUUCCGUUCUGUCCCCCUGCCUCCCUCUCCUGUCUGCACCGGGUGGCCUGUCUGUCCCUCCAGAGUGCCGGCUGCCCCGCAGGUUCCCUCCAGGCUGAGUUCAGGGCCCUGUCCCCUAGUGGCCAGAGCUGGCUUCACAGGGUAAGAGCCAGCUAAGCUCCAGGGACUUUCCAGGAAAAGUGUCCCUUGAAAAGGGUGUGACCUUUUCACUGCUCCCAACAGCACCCUAAAAAUGGCUUGGCCUUUUCCAUCCCCUGAGCUCCAUAGAGAACACAGCCAGCAGAGGACACAUUCUCUGUCAUCCAGAAAUGGGUUUCUCAGCCAAGGGACAGCAGGACUGGUAGAGACUGUCAGGCCACACAGCUGCCUGCACAGCACCGCCAUGCUUGGCCAGAAGGGCGGGAGGGAUGGCGGGGGCUGGCUGUCCACAGGCCGCGCAUGUCCCGGAAGCUCACUGGAGGUGGUGCACUUUGGAGGGGCGAUGUCAGGAGACAGCUUCCUCUUGCUGGGCUACAAGAUUCCACAAGCACAGCACGGGACUGAUUCCCAGUGCUAGAGGUGAGGCAGUUGGCCACGUAUAUAUAUGUAUAUAUGUGUGUGUGUGUGUGUGUGUGUGUGUGUGUGUGAGAGAGAGAAUUUAUAGCUAUUUAUAGAACAGGGCAGGGGCAUACCACAGAGGGGGCACAAGUUUUCAGCAACGGUCACACCUGGACGUGUCAGCUCACCACUACAACAGACUAAGUCACAGAAGAAGGGGGCUGGCUUUGGGGCUGGGGGAGCCACUGUCAAGUCACAGGACACCCGCCCAGGCAGGCUUGGAAAGGGAGGUCUCUGAGAAGAGGAGGGAUGUGUUUAGAGGUCGAAGUGGGGCCUGGGGCUCUCAGGACGGGAUGGACUUGCCUGACCCGAUCAGCUGGCAGUUGGAGAGAAAGCAGAGAGAAAACGGGUUAGAGAAAAGCCAGAGCUGGUGAGGCAAGUGCAGAGUAUGGGUGCGCUGCAGCAGCUGUGGAGGGCCGGGGAGGGGAGGGCGUAGGUGUGGGCGUGGCAAGGUUCCUGGAAAAGAGGGGCUGGAAGGGAAAGGGGAGGGAGAUGGAGGGAGAAGCUGGAGCUUCAUAGGUAGUGCCUGGGGACUGCGGCGGCCCUCCCUACCCCACACACGCUGGCCUGUCUCAUGGAACCCAGGCAAUCCACCCAUCCACCCACAGUUCAGACCAAUGCCAGCUCCCUCGGGCUUCCCUCUUCUGUGGUCCCCAUGUCUUCCAACGCACUGGCCCAGGGCCACCUCUUGCUUGGAGAGCCCCAUCCAACAGCCACCAGACCUGAUAGAGAAGGAACACUGAUUGAACCAAAAUGGUGGAGCUAUAAGGGAUGG